UGACAAGAAGGAAAGAUCCUGCGUAUGCCAUCUGCAUUGAAUCACUUUGUCCUUAUGCUCUCCUACUACCAUAGUUGGUAGCUGCUUGGUCUGUGACUUUUAUUUUCAUGUCAUAUGAUCCUGUGAGAAGGUAAUGCGCUCCAGGGGAGAAGCGAACAGAACGGACAUCACUGGAAUGAGGAUGAUAACUCUGAACCAUUCGCCCACCACGAAUAUCAUAGAGCAUACAGCUGGAAUCUUCCUGUCCAGUAGCUAGAAGACGACCGCUAGGAUCUACAGCUACAGAUGCAACAGCACUGCCUGAAGAAAAAAACCCAUUAUAUACUGUAACCCUGGUUUCAAAUCAAGACUUUUAUGCAGAUUUUCUAAAAUAUUAGUCAAAACGUAGCCAGAUGCACUUACAGACAAUCAUAUUGUUAUUAACAUAGGAUCAAUUGUUCAAUAAUGUAAGGAGAUUUAAUUCUGUCUCUGCAAGUCUGAUAAAACUGGGAACACUUGACAUCUGAUUUGAGAAUGCUAAACAUACUUGUCAAUAAAAACAUAUAUCAGUCAAUGUUUUAAACUAGUUAUUCUAUAUAUUAAAAAAAAGGUCCUUCAUACAAUAUGAGAUUUAAACACUGGCCAUUAAAUAUACAAUUUACAAAAUAAA